GUAGGUUUUCUAGGGAAGGCUGGUGGGUUUCCUCACUGGGAGCAAGGCAUCCUCUGCAGUCACAUAUGGGCAAUGACAGCUCAUUCUCACUAGGGUCUGUCCUGCUCACAUCACAAAAAUAACCAUAAAAGUCCCUAUUAUUUACUGAGGGCUUAUCGUGGGUGAGGUGCCGCACUGAGGGGCAGUCCCUCCAGGGGUAUUGUUUCCAUUUCACAGGGAGAAGUGUUGUUGAAGUUCAGAGAAGUUAGGUAACCUGCCUAAGGCCUCACAGCACCACGAGUGGCAGAGCUGGGAUUCUACCCCAGGCACUUAGCUCUGAAGCCCGAGCUCCUGACCACUUUGCCUGUAUCCUUUCAUAAAUGUAAUCUUUAAGCUGCGGCUGUUCCCUGUUAAGCCCCUGUUUAAAGAUCUAUCAAAGUAGAUGCCUCCUCUGAGUUGCAGCCUUCUCUGAUUCUCCUUAUCAUCAUGAGAGCAGAUACCAAGAGGUAGAGAUGGCCAAAAGGUUUUAAGUUCCCUCUAUUCUCUUGUACAAUGCAGUGCCAAGUAAUACCCUGGGGUUACUCACACUGCUAUGGCCUCUAGUUGAAGAUAGGAGUGCUGUGGUUUUUUUCUUGGCAAGAAAUUGUGGACCAGGGGUGAUAUCCAAUCACAGUCCUCUGGCCUCAUUUGAGACACAGAGGGCAAGUAUUUUUUUAACCCUAUUAUUUUACAAAAAUAUUAAAAGGCAAGCAACUGGACAUGGUGGCUCAUGCUGUAAUCCCAUUGUUUAUGGGAAGCUGAGGUGGGAGGACCACUUGAGGCCAGGAAUUCGAGAUCAGCCUGGACAACAUGGUGAGACCCCAUCUCUACAAAAAAAAAAUAUAUAUAUAGUCAAGUGUGGUAGUGCACACCUGUAGUCCCAGCUACUUGAGAGACUGAGGCAGGAGGAUUGCUUGAAUCCAGGAGCUUAAAGCUGCAGUGAGUUAUGAUCGUCCCACUGCACUCCAGCCUGUGUGACAGAGCACGAUUCUGUUAGACUGGGUAACAGAGUGAGACCCUGUCUCAAAAAUAACAGCAAGUAAGCAAUCAUGAUUUUUUGACUUUUCAAGGAAUUUGCAAACAACAUGUAUUCCCUUUGCCCAUCUAGCUUUUGGGAAAGGACACCCAAAUUCCAACAGUCACCUACCUAGAAAAAUAGAUAACCACAGCCAUGGUCCAUUCCAUUGCGACUUGGUGAUGUCAGAAGGUCUCAGGCUCAGGAGGGGCAUCUCCCAGGGUCUCUCAGCAAAUAUCCCGAUUCCUUAAACUGGGACAGUGUUUUCUGUCUGCAGAGUGUGCUCCCACCUUGGAAUGGGCUUGUCUGGCCUGACCCUGAAUAUGCCCAGCAGGGACUGCAUCCCUCAGUUCAUAGAUACAGAGGUUGAAGGUCAGGGAGGUGAAGACAGAAGGGGCAGCCAGUCAGAGCCAGCAGCUGCAGCAGGACCCAGAUUUCUUGAUUCUGAGUCCAGGAUUCUUUCCACUCCACCAGCUCUCUUGUAUGGACAGCUCAGGGGUCAGAGAAAGCACCUUUAUUUCUGAAUUUCCUUCUUCUCUCCUGUAGCCUUAUGACCAGUGUUCAGAAGAUUUAUCUCUUUCUAGCUUGGGACUUGCACCCAGCAAGUUUCCAUGCAAGGCAGCUGCCUUUAAGAAGAACAGAAGAGUCCCAGUUGGGCUUAUGGGGAAUGAAAUCAGUCCCAAGCCCCGAUCUCUCUGAAAAGUUGUUAUUAAAUUCUGUGCCUGGCCCUGACCUGGAUUUAAAGAUUUGCAAGAAGACAAAUUCCAAACAGAUGCCCAUUAGGGCCGUGACAGCCGCAGCUUAAAGAUAACAUUUACAUUCUGCCGGGGUUUGUAUCUCUCUGUUCCCCACUCGGCCCCUCUCUUUCCUCCGGUGGGAUCAAUACCUCGGUUGAGGUUACGUGGAGGUGGCCACAUUCUUUUAAGCUGUUUGCUCAGUGCUUGGUUUGCUCUGCUAACACGCUGGGCACUUCUUCCAACAGCCCUGUUUGCCCAGCAUUAGGGCUGUUUGUUGAAACACCUAGCCCAAUCCGAGGGGGCUCAGCUUUCUAAACAGUUGGUCCCCGAAUCUGUCAAUCAAUAACACCAAUUGGGUUCCUGAUACGAACAGCAAGUGUGGCCAAGUCCAAUAUUUGCCCAAACACUGCCUCCUCCCCCUGCACCUGACUGUCCCCCAGCUUGACUAAAAGGACGAUCACCAGGCGCAUGGGCUGCUGGGAAGAUACAAUGUUGGCAAACAGGGAGCUGGUUCCAGGAAAGAAGGGCACAUGAGCAAACAUGAUGGCCCCUUUAUGAGAGAUGGAAUAAAAAGGCCUACCUCAUUGGGCUCGUGUGGGUGAGGAGAACUGAAGAGUCUGAGAGCGCGGCACGAGCCAGAGGCUACGGAAAACACUGCCCUCCUACACUCCACCUUGGAGAGACCCAGAAAAGAACAAGCUUCAUUUGUAAAAAAGGAAAACAACUCAGGCAAUGGGGGUGGCUUAAAGGCACUCUACAGUGUGCAGAUGCCUUCCACUUCUUCCAUCUGCCCUGUCUCUCCAAGAACCCCUAUGGCCCCGGUCUCAGAACAGAGCUGAGUGCAGAAAUGAAAAUCUAUGGCUCUGUGUUCCAAAACGAUGAAGAAUUUCAAGAUGGUGGCAGUGGUAAAAUCUUUCUCCAGGAAAAAUCUGUCCUUGGCCCAAUGUGUAAACACUUGCUGAGGAACUUGGAAUAACUUGCAGUGUCUUGCAGUAUUGUGAAACCAGCAACUUGUUCACAAUUCUUCUGAAUUUCUUGGGAAAUUUGAAGUGGAGUACCUGUACCAACAUGAAAUGACACGAAUUUAAGUGACGCUCAACAACGAAAAGCAAAAAGAACCAAAGAGGAAGCAACUGAAACAACAUCUGGAUGUAUUUAAAAAUAUACAAUGCCUCCAAAAUCAGGUGUCAUUAAUGAAAAUUCUGAAGAAAUGCCACCGGACAUAGCCAACGCACCUACGCUGUUGUUAUUCAUUUCCUGCUUUUCACAGAAAACAAUUUUGUUGCAUGGAAGAUCGGACAAGGCUGUUCUCUGAAGUUCCCUCAUCCACCUAGAAACCAGAUGGCCGAAGAGGAACACAAUUGCCUUCCAUCCCCUUCCUGAAAUUUCAUUAUCUAGAGGAUUAAAACCCAUAUCACAGAGGAAGAGAUUGAAAAUUAAACAUCACACCUACAACCCAUACUUCGGAGCACUGACCCAAAUUGUCUAUUUUUAAGUCCCAUUCCAUUUCCAAAGAUAAUUAUUUACUAACCAUUGUCUGGAGCAUUGGGCCCAUUCAUUCCUCUUAAAAAUCAUUUGCUGGGCCAGGAGUGGUGGCUUACGCCUGUAAUCCCAGCACUGGGAGGCCGAAGCGGGAGGAUCACGAGGUCAAGAGAUCGAGACCAUCCUGGCCAACAUGGUGAAACCCUGUCUCUACUAAAAAUACAAAAAUUAGCUGGGUGUAGUGGCACAUGCCUGUAGUCUCAGCUACUCGGGAGACUGAGGCAGGAGAAUUGCUUGAACCCAGGAGGUGGAGGUUGCAGUGAGCCGAGAUCAUGCCACUGCACUCCAGCCUGGCGAAAGAGUGAGAUUCCGUCUCAAAAAAAAAAAAAAAUUAUUUUCUACCCCUCAAAACAGCCACUUUCUCCUCCAUCUCCUCUUCCCUGAUGAAGAAAGGCGUAUGAGCAUCUGGACCUCAUUGGGUUUAGGUCAUCAUGUUCUUGCAAUUCCUGUGUGCUUAUGCACAUUAAAUGAAUUUGUAUGCCUUUUCCUCUUAUUAAUCUGCCUAUUGUAAAUUCAUUUUCAGUGAACUUCAAAGGGCAGAGGGGAAACUGUCCCUUGGCCUCUACCCCUCCAAGGCCCCACUUUUUUGUCAACACUCCUUGGACGCAGCAGAAGUAUGAACAUAAUAUGGUCCUGAAUGAGGCUGAGUCUUUGGGCGCAGAAGACCCGGGUUAAUAAAAAUAGGAAGGUAAGAAAAGAAAAGAAAAAUCAAGACACAUCAUAGGACUAAAUUCCUAUUAUUUAUCCACUCAGGAUUGACCACCCCUUUGGGCCAGAUAGUUGUACCCCCAUGUACCAGGUGGGCACAUGAAGACACAAGAAGUGCUGUGAUGGUUCAUUUUGCACGUCACCUUGCGUGGAGUAUGCCAACUCAUUGUUUGGUCAAACACUAGUCUGGACAUGGUGGUAAAGGUAUUUUUUAGAUGAGAUUAACACUUAAAUCAGUAAAGCAGGUUACCCACCAUACUACGGGUGGGCCCUGUCCAAUCAGUUGAAGGCAUUAAGAACAAAGAUUGAGGUUUCCUAAAGAAGAUGGAAUUCUCCUUGAGACUACAACAUAGAAACCCUAUCUGAGUUUCCAGCCUGUUGCCCUGUGGAAUUCAAACUCAGGACUCCGGUCUAUGACAUUAACCCUCACUUAACUUUUCAGCCUGCCAGCCUGCCCUAUGGAUUUCGGACUUGCCAGCCACACAAUUCCUUAAAAUAAAUCUCUCCGUCUCUGUCUGUUUCUCUCUGUCUAUAUACACCCCUGGCUGUACCACUGAGGACUGAAUUUUAACAGGCAGCAGGAAACUGGGAUUCUUAG
rnacentral:lncRNA from 1 species